CUUAAUUGGGCGUUAAGUUGCAGGGUAUAGACCCGAAACCCGGUGAUCUAGCCAUGGGCAGGUUGAAGGUUGGGUAACACUAACUGGAGGACCGAACCGACUAAUGUUGAAAAAUUAGCGGAUGACCUGUGGCUGGGGGUGAAAGGCCAAUCAAACCGGGAGAUAGCUGGUUCUCCCCGAAAGCUAUUUAGGUAGCGCCUCGUGAAUUCAUCUCCGGGGGUAGAGCACUGUUUCGGCUAGGGGGCCAUCCCGGCUUACCAACCCGAUGCAAACUGCGAAUACCGGAGAAUGUUAUCACGGGAGACACACGGCGGGUGCUAACGUCCGUCGUGAAGAGGGAAACAACCCAGACCGCCAGCUAAGGUCCCAAAGUCAUGGUUAAGUGGGAAACGAUGUGGGAAGGCCCAGACAGCCAGGAUGUUGGCUUAGAAGCAGCCAUCAUUUAAAGAAAGCGUAAUAGCUCACUGGUCGAGUCGGCCUGCGCGGAAGAUGUAACGGGGCUAAACCAUGCACCGAAGCUGCGGCAGCGAACGUAUCACUUAAAGCGAUUCAGCGGGUUACGAUUGACGGAGCGAAGCGACGUCAAAGCGUAUACAAAGUCGAGUCGGUUUAAGGAUACGUUCGUUGGGUAGGGGAGCGUUCUGUAAGCCUGUGAAGGUGUGUCGUGAGGCAUGCUGGAGGUAUCAGAAGUGCGAAUGCUGACAUAAGUAACGAUAAAGCGGGUGAAAAGCCCGCUCGCCGGAAGACCAAGGGUUCCUGUCCAACGUUAAUCGGGGCAGGGUGAGUCGACCCCUAAGGCGAGGCCGAAAGGCGUAGUCGAUGGGAAACGGGUUAAUAUUCCCGUACUUGGUGUUACUGCGAAGGGGGGACGGAGAAGGCUAUGUUGGCCGGGCGACGGUUGUCCCGGUUUAAGCGUGUAGGUGUGUGUUCCAGGUAAAUCCGGUUCACUUUAACACUGAGGCGUGAUGACGAGGCACUACGGUGCUGAAGCAACAAAUGCCCUGCUUCCAGGAAAAGCCUCUAAGCAUCAGGUAACAUCAAAUCGUACCCCAAACCGACACAGGUGGUCAGGUAGAGAAUACCAAGGCGCUUGAGAGAACUCGGGUGAAGGAACUAGGCAAAAUGGUGCCGUAACUUCGGGAGAAGGCACGCUGACAUGUAGGUGAAGUGAUUUACUCAUGGAGCUGAAGUCAGUCGAAGAUACCAGCUGGCUGCAACUGUUUAUUAAAAACACAGCACUGUGCAAACACGAAAGUGGACGUAUACGGUGUGACGCCUGCCCGGUGCCGGAAGGUUAAUUGAUGGGGUCAGCGCAAGCGAAGCUCCUGAUCGAAGCCCCGGUAAACGGCGGCCGUAACUAUAACGGUCCUAAGGUAGCGAAAUUCCUUGUCGGGUAAGUUCCGACCUGCACGAAUGGCGUAAUGAUGGCCAGGCUGUCUCCACCCGAGACUCAGUGAAAUUGAACUCGCUGUGAAGAUGCAGUGUACCCGCGGCAAGACGGAAAGACCCCGUGAACCUUUACUAUAGCUUGACACUGAACAUUGAGCCUUGAUGUGUAGGAUAGGUGGGAGGCUUUGAAGCGUGGACGCCAGUCUGCGUGGAGCCGACCUUGAAAUACCACCCUUUAAUGUUUGAUGUUCUAACGUGGACCCGUGAUCCGGGUUGCGGACAGUGUCUGGUGGGUAGUUUGACUGGGGCGGUCUCCUCCUAAAGAGUAACGGAGGAGCACGAAGGUUGGCUAAUCCUGGUCGGACAUCAGGAGGUUAGUGCAAUGGCAUAAGCCAGCUUGACUGCGAGCGUGACGGCGCGAGCAGGUGCGAAAGCAGGUCAUAGUGAUCCGGUGGUUCUGAAUGGAAGGGCCAUCGCUCAACGGAUAAAAGGUACUCCGGGGAUAACAGGCUGAUACCGCCCAAGAGUUCAUAUCGACGGCGGUGUUUGGCACCUCGAUGUCGGCUCAUCACAUCCUGGGGCUGAAGUAGGUCCCAAGGGUAUGGCUGUUCGCCAUUUAAAGUGGUACGCGAGCUGGGUUUAGAACGUCGUGAGACAGUUCGGUCCCUAUCUGCCGUGGGCGCUGGAGAACUGAGGGGGGCUGCUCCUAGUACGAGAGGACCGGAGUGGACGCAUCACUGGUGUUCGGGUUGUCAUGCCAAUGGCACUGCCCGGUAGCUAAAUGCGGAAGAGAUAAGUGCUGAAAGCAUCUAAGCACGAAACUUGCCCCGA
rnacentral:rRNA from 1 species